rnacentral:rRNA from 1 species
GAUGAACGCUAGCUACAGGCUUAACACAUGCAAGUCGCGGGGCAGCAUGGGGGUUGCUUGCAACCCCUGAUGGCGACCGGCGCACGGGUGAGUAACGCGUAUCCAACCUGCCCUUCACCACGGGAUAACCCGGCGAAAGUCGGACUAAUACCGUAUGUUGUCCAUUGACGGCAUCCGAUUUGGACGAAAGGCUUGGGGUGAAAGGAUGGGGAUGCGUCCGAUUAGCUUGACGGCGGGGUAACGGCCCACCGUGGCUACGAUCGGUAGGGGUUCUGAGAGGAAGGUCCCCCACACUGGAACUGAGACACGGUCCAGACUCCUACGGGAGGCAGCAGUGAGGAAUAUUGGUCAAUGGGCGUAAGCCUGAACCAGCCAAGUAGCGUGCAGGGUGACGGCCCUAUGGGUUGUAAACUGCUUUUAUGCGGGGAUAAAGUGGCCCACGUGUGGGCUUUUGCAGGUACCGCAUGAAUAAGGACCGGCUAAUUCCGUG